rnacentral:tRNA from 1 species
GCGGAGUUAGCUCAAUCGGGAAAGCACUUGCCUUGAGAGUAUGAGGAUCUGAGUUCAAUUCCCGGAACCCAUG